CCUGUUAAUACAUCAGCACUACACUGAGAUUGUACAUCCCUUGCCAACAUAUUUUUGACAGGUCAAAGGAUGUUCUCUCAUUCUGAAUUUGAUCUUGUUGUAAAGAAUUUGGCUGGAG